GCUGGGUGGAUCAGUGGCGAACGGGUGAGUAACACGUGAGCAACCUGCCCCCUACUUCGGGAUAAGCCUUGGAAACGAGGUCUAAUACCGGAUAUGAGCACUUACCGCAUGGUGGGUGUUGGAAAGUUUUUCGGUGGGGGAUGGGCUCGCGGCCUAUCAGCUUGUUGGUGGGGUAAUGGCCUACCAAGGCGUCGACGGGUAGCCGGCCUGAGAGGGCGACCGGCCACACUGGGACUGAGACACGGCCCAGACUCCUACGGGAGGCAGCAGUGGGGAAUAUUGCACAAUGGGCGAAAGCCUGAUGCAGCGACGCCACGUGAGGGAUGACGGCCUUCGGGUUGUAAACCUCUUUCAGCAGGGAAGAAGCGAAAGUGACGGUACCUGCAGAAGAAGCGCCGGCUAACUACGUGCCAGCAGCCGCGGUAAUACGUAGGGCGCAAGCGUUGUCCGGAAUUAUUGGGCGUAAAGAGCUCGUAGGCGGUCUGUCGCGUCUGGUGUGAAAUCCCAUGGCUCAACUGUGGGCUUGCAUCGGGUACGGGCAGACUAGAGUG
rnacentral:rRNA from 1 species